UACGUAGGCAGCAAGCGUUGUUCGGAAUUACUGGGCGUAAAGAGUGUGUAGGCGGUGCUCUAAGUUCGGUGUGAAAUCUCCUGGCUCAACUGGGAGGGUGCGCCGGAAACUGGGGUGCUGGAGCGCGGGAGAGGAAAGCGGAAUUCCUGGUGUAGCGGUGAAAUGCGUAGAUAUCUGGAGGAACACCGGUGGCGAAGGCGGCGUCCUGGACCAACACUGACACUGAUGAGCGAAAGCCAGGGGGAGCAAAAGCGGGG
rnacentral:rRNA from 1 species